rnacentral:rRNA from 1 species
GACGAACGCUGGCGGCGUGCUUAACACAUGCAAGUCGAACGGAAAGGCCCCUUUGGGGGUACUCGAGUGGCGAACGGGUGAGUAACACGUGAGUAACCUGCCCUUGACUUCGGGAUAACUUCAGGAAACUGGGGCUAAUACCGGAUAGGAAUCCUUGCUGCAUGGUGGGGGUUGGAAAGCUUCGGCGGUUUUGGAUGGACUCGCGGCUUAUCAGCUUGUUGGUGGGGUAGUGGCUUACCAAGGCUUUGACGGGUAGCCGGCCUGAGAGGGCGACCGGCCACAUUGGGACUGAGAUACGGCCCAGACUCCUACGGGAGGAAGCAGUGGGGAAUAUUGCACAAUGGGCGGAAGCCUGAUGCAGCAACGCCGCGUGCGGGAUGACGGCCUUCGGGUUGUAAACCGCUUUCAGCAGGGGCGAAGCUUGUGGUGACGGUACCUGCAGAAGAAGCACCGGCUAACUACGUG